UAGAAAAGCUUUAAUUCUCACGUUGGACAGAAAUGAUUGAAAAUUCAUUCCCUUUCUCAUGAGCGAAAAUGAGACCAGACUUCUCAUGGGUCAGACCUGGAGAUCUGAUCAUCCAUGUAUGACCCAUUGGAAAGUCUGGAAAGAGAUAUGGAGUGUACAGAUGUAGAAUCAACUGAGCUGCUUCCAUACACCUCUCUGAAGUUCAAGCCUGCAUUCUUUUACAAUAGCAGAAGUCUGUCUGAAUGGAGAAAUGAUAAACUGGUUUUUCCUAGGAGGACUCUUAACUCUUGGGAUGAUUUGGGAUGCCAUGGUAAAUUUUCUACAAGUUGAUUAUAAUAACAAUUUGUUAACAGAGGUUUUUGAAGCUUUAACCUUGUCUUUUUUAUUAUUGUUGUUCUUCCUGCUAACUAUUUUGUCAUUAAUAUAAUGGAUUAUAGAUCAAUAAUUUGCAAAUAGAUUUAGUAGUUUAAUUUUUUUUUUCUGGCCCUGUUUCACAAGGGGUGGGAAACCAAUAUUGUAGUUAAUGUAUUAAUCAGUAUUCAAUUAGGAGGGAUAAUGCAUUUUUAAUGCAUCAUUUUGUAACGUCUUGUUUGUUUUGCGUUUUUUUAUUUGAUUUUUUAAAAUUUGUUGGAGUUUUCAAUUUUAAUUUUUUUCCCAAAUAAAAUAGAGUCUUAAAAAAAGAAAAUUGCUGAAUAUUAGGUGGCAGAUAAGACACCCUUUUUAGUGAAAAAUGAGGGAGCCAUUUUGUUUGUUCUCUAAGGCAAAACAUUCCACUGGAUUUAUUUUGUUCUGAGCUUGAAAUAUUGCUAUAUUAUCAUAUCAGAUACUCUCUGUGAAAGUUUUUCUACCUCUAAUUAUUGCAGUUAGAACUGUGUGUGUCAAUGUCUUUUAAUAAAAAAGCUUCAAUCUUUCAUAUAAUAGAAAAUAUGCAGCAGACAUAGGAGUAGAAAAAUUACUUAAUAUCAAUGUGAAAACAAAGCCAAACUUGGUAAACUUUUUUUAAAGAAAAGAUUUCCUGAAACAUUACAAAAUGCAACUUAAUUUUGAGAAAUUAUGUGUUUCUGACUAUUAAAUGAAUGAGUGGAAGUGAAAUAAAAAUCAGAGAAAACAGA